rnacentral:tRNA from 1 species
CAAAAUAUAGUUUAUUAAAACAUUAAUUUUGGGAAUUAAAAAUAUUUAUUAAAAAUUAUUUUGA